rnacentral:rRNA from 1 species
AGAGUUUGAUCCUGGCUCAGGAUGAACGCUGGCGGCGUGCCUAACACAUGCAAGUCGAACGGUACCAGGCUUUCACUGUCCGUUCCUCGCAACUAGUUUCUAGUUGACCCCGAGGAAUAGAGAGUGAAAGUGCUGGCGAGUGGCGGACGGCUGAGUAACGCGUGGGAACGUGCCCCAAAGUGAGGAAUAAGCACCGGAAACGGUGUCUAAUGCCGCAUAUGAUCUUCGGAUUAAAGUAUUUAUACGCUUUGGGAGCGGCCCGCGUUGGAUUAGGUUGUUGGUGAGGUAAUGGCUCACCAAGCCGACGAUCCGUAGCUGGUCUGAGAGGAUGACCAGCCAGACUGGAACUGAGACACGGUCCAGACUCCUACGGGAGGCAGCAGUGAGGAAUCUUCCACAAUGGGCGAAAGCCUGAUGGAGCAACGCCGCGUGCAGGAUGAAGGCCUUCGGGUCGUAAACUGCUUUUAUUUGUGAAGAAUAUGACGGUAACAAAUGAAUAAGGAUCGGCUAACUACGUGCCAGCAGCCGCGGUCAUACGUAGGAUCCAAGCGUUAUCCGGAGUGACUGGGCGUAAAGAGUUGCGUAGGUGGUUGUAUAAGUGAAUAGUGC